rnacentral:miRNA from 14 species
CACCCGGGAUCUUGUUAAACUGCAGACUGUGUUCUCUGGGGCCUGAGAUUCUGCAUUUCGAGCAAGCUCUCAAGCUAUG